AACACAUGCAGUCGAACGGUAACAGGAAGAAGCUUGCUUCUUUGCUGACGAGUGGCGGACGGGUGAGUAAUGUCUGGGAAACUGCCUGAUGGAGGGGGAUAACUACUGGAAACGGUAGCUAAUACCGCAUAACGUCGCAAGACCAAAAAGGGGGACCUUCGGGCCUCUUGCCAUCGGAUGUGCCCAGAUGGGAUUAGCUAGUAGGUGGGGUAACGGCUCACCUAGGCGACGAUCCCUAGCUGGUCUGAGAGGAUGACCACCACACUGGAACWGAACACGGUCCAAACUCCUACGGGAGGC
rnacentral:rRNA from 1 species